ACGGCAGCACGGACUUCGGUCUGGUGGCGAGUGGCGAACGGGUGAGUAAUAUAUCGGAACGUGCCCAGUCGUGGGGGAUAACGUAGUGAAAAUUACGCUAAUACCGCAUACGAUCUAAGGAUGAAAGCGGGGGAUCGCAAGACCUCGCGCGAUUGGAGCGGCCGAUAUCAGAUUAGGUAGUUGGUGAGGUAAAGGCUCACCAAGCCAACGAUCUGUAGCUGGUCUGAGAGGACGACCAGCCACACUGGAACUGAGACACGGUCCAGACUCCUACGGGAGGCAGCAGUGGGGAAUUUUGGACAAUGGACGCAAGUCUGAUCCAGCCAUUCCGCGUGCAGGACGAAGGCCUUCGGGUUGUAAACUGCUUUUGUACAGAACGAAAAGGUCUCUAUUAAUACUAGGGGCUCAUGACGGUACUGUAAGAAUAAGCACUGGCUAACUACGUGCCAGCAGCCGCGGUAAUACGUAGGGUGCAAGCGUUAAUCGGAAUUACUGGGCGUAAAGCGUGCGCAGGCGGUUAUAUAAGACAGAUGUGAAAUCCCCGGGCUCAACCUGGGAACUGCAUUUGUGACUGUAUAGCUGGAGUGCGGCAGAGGGGGAUGGAAUUCCGCGUGUAGCAGUGAAAUGCGUAGAUAUGCGGAGGAACACCGAUGGCGAAGGCAAUCCCCUGGGCCUGCACUGACGCUCAU
rnacentral:rRNA from 1 species